CCUACGUGAGGCAGCAGUGAGGAAUAUUGGUCAAUGGGCGCGAGCCUGAACCAGCCAAGUAGCGUGAAGGAUGACUGCCCUACGGUUUGUAAACUUCUUUUAUAAAGGAAUCAAGUGAGGCACGUGUGCCUUUUUGUAUGUACUUUAUGAAUAAGGAUCGGCUAACUCCGUGCCAGCAGCCGCGGUAAUACGGAGGAUCCGAGCGUUAUCCGGAUUUAUUGGGUUUAAAGGGAGCGUAGAUGGGUUGUUAAGUCAGUUGUGAAAGUUUGCGGCUCAACCGUAAAAUUGCAAUUGAUACUGGCAGUCUUGAGGACAGUUGAGGUAGGCGGAAUGCGUGGUGUAGCGGUGAAAUGCUUAGAUAUCACGAAGAACUCCGAGUGCGAAGGCAGCUUACUAAACUGCCACUGACAUUGAUGCUCGAAAGUGUGGGUAUCAAACAGGAUUAGAUACCCCUGUAGUC
rnacentral:rRNA from 1 species